rnacentral:rRNA from 1 species
GACAGAGGCCUCAAGCGUUAGGCGGAAUCACUGGGCUUAAAGCGUGUGUAGGCGGAUCGUUAAGUGCCUUGUGAAAUCCCACGGCUUAACUGUGGAACGGCUGGGCAUACUGGCGGUCUUGAGCCAUCUAGGGGCGACUGGAACAAACGGUGGAGCGGUGAAAUGCGUAGAUAUCGGGAAGAACGCCAAGGGCGAAGGCACUCUGCUAGGCCUGAUUUCGCGACUGACACUCAGGGACGAGAGCCAGGGGAGCGAAUGGG